GGAAGCGUGGCAGAGUGGUCGAUUGCACCGGUCUUGAAAACCGGCAACGGGCAACCGUUCGUGAGUUCGAAUCUCACCGCUUCCGCCA
rnacentral:tRNA from 127 species